rnacentral:rRNA from 1 species
GUGUCAGCAGCCGCGGUAAGACAGAGGGUGCGAACGUUGCUCGGAAUCACUGGGCGUAAAGCGCGUGUAGGCGGACCAGCAAGUCAGGUGUGAAAUCCCUGGGCUCAACCUAGGAACUGCAUCUGAAACUGCUGGUCUUGAGUGUCGGAGAGGGAAGCGGAAUUCCUGGUGUAGAGGUGAAAUUCGUAGAUAUCAGGAGGAACACCGGUGGCGAAAGCGGCUUCCUGGACGACUACUGACGCGGAGACGCGAAAGCGUGGGGAGCAAACAGGAUUAGAUACCCUGGUAGUCCACGCCGUAAACGAUGAGUGCUAGACGUCUCGGGUAUUGACCCCUGAGGUGUCGUAGCUAACGCGUUAAGCACUCCGCCUGGGAACUACGGCCGCAAGGCUAAUACUCAAAUGAAUUGACGGGG